rnacentral:rRNA from 1 species
GAUGAACGCUAGCUACAGGCUUAACACAUGCAAGUCGCGGGGCAGCAUGGGGGUUGCUUGCAAUCCCCGAUGGCGACCGGCGCACGGGUGAGUAACGCGUAUCCAACCUGCCCUUCACCACGGGAUAACCCGGCGAAAGUCGGACUAAUACCGUAUGUUGUCCAUUGACGGCAUCCGAUUUGGACGAAAGGUUUGGCGGUGAAGGAUGGGGAUGCGUCCGAUUAGCUGGACGGCGGGGUGACGGCCCACCGUGGCGACGAUCGGUAGGGGUUCUGUGAGGAAGGUCCCCCACACUGGAACUGAGACACGGUCCAGACUCCUACGGGAGGCAGCAGUGAGGAAUAUUGGUCAAUGGGCGUAAGCCUGAACCAGCCAAGUAGCGUGCAGGAUGACGGCCCUAUGGGUUGUAAACUGCUUUUAUGCGGGGAUAAAGUGGCCCACGUGUGGGUUUUUGCAGGUACCGCAUGAAUAAGGACCGGCUAAUUCCGUG